rnacentral:rRNA from 1 species
AUUGAACGCUGGCGGCAGGCUUAACACAUGCAAGUCGAGCGGAGAGAGGUAGCUUGCUACUGAUCUUAGCGGCGGACGGGUGAGUAAUGCUUAGGAAUCUGCCUAUUAGUGGGGGACAACAUUUCGAAAGGAAUGCUAAUACCGCAUACGUCCUACGGGAGAAAGCAGGGGAUCUUCGGACCUUGCGCUAAUAGAUGAGCCUAAGUCGGAUUAGCUAGUUGGUGGGGUAAAGGCCUACCAAGGCGACGAUCUGUAGCGGGUCUGAGAGGAUGAUCCUGCACAAUGGGACUGAGACACGGCCCAGACUCCUACGGGAGGCAGCAGUGGGGAAUAUUGGACAAUGGGCGCAAGCCUGAUCCAGCCAUGCCGCGUGUGUGAAGAAGGCCUUAUGGUUGUAAAGCACUUUAAGCGAGGAGGAGGCUACUUUAGAUAAUACCUAGAGAUAGUGGACGUUACUCGCAGAAUAAGCACCGGCUAACUCUGUGCCAGCCGCCGCCGUAACAC